GUGGGGGAUAUUGCACAAUGGGGGGAACCCUGAUGCAGCGACGCCGCGUGAGUGAAGGAGCAUUUCGGUGCGUAAAGCUCUGUCAGCAGGGAAGAAAGAAGACGGUACCUGACCAAGAAGCCCCGGCUAACUACGUGCCAGCAGCCGCGGUAAUACGUAGGGGGCAAGCGUUAUCCGGAUUUACUGGGUGUAAAGGGAGCGCAGACGGCAAGGCAAGCCUGGAGUGAAAGGCGGGGGCCCAACCCCCGGACUGCUCUGGGAACUGCCUGGCUGGAGUGCAGGAGGGGUAAGCGGAAUUCCUGGUGUAGCGGUGAAAUGCGUAGAUAUCAGGAGGAACACCGGUGGCGAAGGCGGCUUACUGGACUGCAACUGACGUUGAGGCUCGAAAGCGUGGGGAGCAAACAGG
rnacentral:rRNA from 1 species